rnacentral:rRNA from 1 species
GUCAUAUGCUUGUCUCAAAGAUUAAGCCAUGCAUGUCUCAGUACAAGCCAAAUUAAGGUGAAACCGCGAAAGGCUCAUUAAAUCAGUUAUGGUUCCUUAGAUCGUACUCACAAUUACUUGGAUAACUGUGGUAAUUCUAGAGCUAAUACAUGCAAACAGAGCUCCGACCGGAGACGGAAGGAGUGCUUUUAUUAGAUCAAAACCAAUCGGUGGCGGGUUCGCGCUCGUCAUCGUACAACUUGGUGACUCUGAAUAACUUUACGCUGAUCGCACGGUCAUCGCACCGGCGACGCAUCUUUCAAAUGUCUGCCUUAUCAACUGUCGAUGGUAGGUUCUGCGCCUACCAUGGUUGUAACGGGUAACGGGGAAUCAGGGUUCGAUUCCGGAGAGGGAGCCUGAGAAACGGCUACCACAUCCAAGGAAGGCAGCAGGCGCGCAAAUUACCCACUCCCGGCACGGGGAGGUAGUGACGAAAAAUAACGAUACGGGACUCAUCCGAGGCCCCGUAAUCGGAAUGAGUACACUCUAAACCCUUUAACGAGGAUCAAUUGGAGGGCAAGUCUGGUGCCAGCAGCCGCGG